UCCGGGAAACCGGUGCUAAUACCGAAUAGUUUUUUGCCCCUCCUGGGGCGGAACGGAAAGACGGUUUCGGCUGUCACUGCAGGAUGGGCCCGCGGCGCAUUAGCUAGUUGGUGGGGUAAUGGCCCACCAAGGCGACGAUGCGUAGCCGACCUGAGAGGGUGAUCGGCCACACUGGGACUGAGACACGGCCCAGACUCCUACGGGAGGCAGCAGUAGGGAAUCUUCCGCAAUGGACGCAAGUCUGACGGAGCAACGCCGCGUGAGUGACGAAGGUUUUCGGAUCGUAAAACUCUGUUGUGAGGGAAGAACAAGUACCAACUAACUACUGGUACCUUGACGGUACCUCACCAGAAAGCCACGGCUAACUACGUGCCAGCAGCCGCGGUAAUACGUAGGUGGCAAGCGUUGUCCGGAAUUAUUGGGCGUAAAGCGCGCGCAGGCGGUCCCUUAAGUCUGAUGUGAAAGCCCACGGCUCAACCGUGGAGGGUCAUUGGAAACUGG
rnacentral:rRNA from 1 species